rnacentral:rRNA from 1 species
UGACGAGAAGACCCCGUCAAACUUUAAUUAUCAUAUAUAAAAGUGAAAAUAUAAAAUAUAAAUUAAUUUUAGUUGGGGCAACUGGGAGGGAUAAAAAUCUUUUAUUAAAUCAUUUAUAGUAAUAUUUAUAUUUAUGAUCCAAAUUAGUUAAUUUUGAACUUAGAAU